CCAAUAGCGUAUAUUAAAGUUGUUGCAGUUAAAAAGCUCGUAGUUGAAUUUCGGGAUCAAGGAAUCGGUCAUGCCUUGGUAUGUACUGGUUUUAUUGGUUCUCACCUUCUAAAGAACCAUAAUGUCAUUUAUUUGAUGUUAUGGGGAAUUAGGACUGUUACCUUGAAAAAAUUAGAUUGUUUAAAGCAAGCUUACGCUCGAAUACAUUAGCAUGGAAUAAUGAAAUAGGACGUUUGAUCCUAUUUUGUUGGUUUCUAGGAUUGACGUAAUGAUUAAUAGGGAUAGUUGGGGGCAUUAGUAUUCAAUUGUCAGAGGUGAAAUUCUUGGAUUUAUUGAAGACUAACUACUGCGAAAGCAUUUGCCAAGGAUGUUUUCAUUAAUCAAGAACGAAAGUUAGGGGAUCGAAGACGAUCAGAUACCGUCGUAGUCUUAACCAUAAACUAUGCCGACUAGGGAUCGGAUGAUGUUAAUUUUUUAAUGACUCAUUCGGCGCCUUACG
rnacentral:rRNA from 1 species